AUUGCACCUGCACUAAGAUCUGUUUCCAAUCUUUUUUUUCUUCUUCUUCUUCUUCCCAAAGUCCUCUGGUACAUAGUUGCAUAUUCUAGUUGUGAGUGCCUCUGGUUGUGCUAUAUGGGACACUGCCUCAACAGGACCUGAUGAGCAGUGCCAUGUCCACACCCAGGAUCCGAACUGGCAGAACCCUGGGCCGCCGAAGUGGAGCACAUGAGCUUAACCACUCGGCCAUGGGCCCAGACCCCAUACAGCUGUUUUUAAUGUUUUAACCUCCCACAACUCACUCUAGCUUCUAUUUCACAAGUUUUACGUGGUCUAUUGUGUCUCCAGCUCUAAUUUCUUGCCCUAGGUAUCUGUAGAUCUAUAGACCCCCUGCAGCAUUCACGGCAGUGGCCACCACUUUUCCUCACAUGAGAUCCAACUCAGGUGAGACUGAGAUCAGUCCUUCAGGCAGUCCCAAGACUGAUUAGAACAAAUCAAAUAAGUUAUGCUUAGCUACCUCCAGCUGAAGCAAGGAAAUUGGAAGCUGGGCUAUUACCUCUUCCAGAUCAAGUCUGGAGGGGUUAGGACAGGGGUCCUUCUGGUUGUGCUAUGUGGGAUGCUGCCUCAGCACGGCCUGAUGAGUGGUGGCAUGUCUGCGCCCAGGAUCUGAGCCAGUGAAACUUUGGGCCACCAAAGUGGAGCAUGCAAACCUAACCACUCGGCCAUGAGUAAGUCUACUAAAACACAAAUGAGUUUUGAGUUGGAGACAUCCUGAGAAAGUAAGUCCAUCAAGAUUUUGCAGCAAUCUUUGGAAGGAUUUUGAACUUCUUCAGUUCACAAAUUAAAGAAUGCCACCACAGCAUGGCUUGACAAAUGAUGAUAGGUCCACACCUGGGAUCCGAACCUGCGAACCCUGGACCACCAAAGUGGAGCACAGAACUUAACCACUACAUCACAAGGCCAGCCCCUGUUACUCAUUUUUUAAUGGAGUUUGUUUGUGGGAUUUUUUUGUAUUUGUUGGCUUUUUCUAUUGAGUUAUGUAUUUUGGACAUUAACUCAUUAUCAGAUAUAUGGUCUGCAAGUAUUUUCUCCCAUUUUGUAAGUUGCUUUUUACUCUGUUGAUAGUUUCCAUUGCUGUGCAGAAACUUUUUAGUUUUUAUGAAGUUACACUUGUCUAUUUUUGCUUCUGUUGCUUGUGUUUGAUGUCAUAUCCAAGAAAUCAUUGCCAAUAAUCAGGGAAAUGCAAAUCAAAAACAGAAUGAGAUAUAAUCUCACACCUGGUAGGAUGGCCAUUAUAAAAAAAAAACCCACAAGAUAACAAGUUUUGGUGAGAAUGCGGAGAAAUAAGAACCCUUGUGCACUGUUGGUGGGAAUGUAAAAUGGUGAAGCCACUAUGGAAACUGGAUGGAAGUUCCUCAAAAAAUUAAAAAUACACUAAAAAACUACAGCUAACAUCAUAUUUGGUGAUUAGAAACUCAAAGCUUUUCCACUAAGAUCAGGUAUAAGGCAAGGAUGUCCCCAUCACAACUCCUUCUCAAAUCAUGCUGAAAGUCCUUGCCGGGGUAAUAUGGUAAGAAAAGGCAAUAAAAAUAUUACAGAUUGGGAAGGAAAACAUAAAACUGUCUUUUUUCACAGAUCAUUGUCUAUAUAGAAAAUCCAGAAGAACUGACAAACAAAACCUCCUGGAACUAAUAAGCAAUUAUAGCAAGGAUACAGGAUAUAAAGUUAAUACGCAAAAGUCAAUUGUUGUUCUAUAUGCCAACAAUGAAAAGA
ensembl:lncRNA